rnacentral:misc_RNA from 1 species
GAUGAAGAACGCAGCGAAUUGCGAUAUGUAAUGUGAAUUGCAGAUUUUCAGUGAAUCAUCGAAUCUUUGAACGCACCUUGCGCUCCUUGGUAUUCCGAGGAGCAUGCCUGUUCGAGUGUCAUUGAAUUCUCAACCCUUCUUCGAUUAAUUUCGAGGGAUGGCUUGGAUUUUGGGGGCUGCUGGCGACCCACUGGGGUAUGUCGGCUCUCCUUAAAAGCAUUAGCGAAGGGUGGCAAAAGCCAUGCAUGAACGGCCUCGGACGUGAUAAUGAUCGUCGUGGCUGGAGUGCGAGGCGUAGAUCCGUCUUUGCUUCUAAUCGUUCGUAAUCAGGGGGGGGGUCGAGUAGUCUGCUCCGGCGGACGGAAAACCCCCGUCCGGUUACUUCUGAAACUUGACCUCGAAUCAGGUAGGACUACCCGCUGAACUUAAGCAUAUCAAUAAGCGGAGGA